AGCAGCACAUCAUGCACAUAUACCCAGACACAUAUGUGAAUAAUCAACAUGCAAAUUGUCUGUUUAUUCCCAUCCAUAUACAAACACACCAUCAUAAUUAUAGUACCUUAUAUUCUACACUUACAUGUCCCAUGGGCAUCUCAAAUUCAAUAUGUUCCAAACCAAAGUUGAUAUCUUCCCCUUGAUUUUACUGAUCCAGACUUUUGAUAGGAUUCCUUAGGAUUGUACAGUAUUUAGAACUGGUAGGGACCUUAGAGAUCAUUUAGGCCAAUCCUCUUAUUUUUCAAAUGAGACUCAGAGAUUUGCCUUCAGGUCAUUUAAAUAGGGUCAGAGCUGGGAUUCGAACUGGUUCUACUAGGUAGAUAUACGACCAUGGAAGACAUCCUAGUCCCUAAGGAUCAAAAUUUGAGAAUCAUCUUUGGUUCGAAAUUUGGUCAAUCACCAAGCCCUAGAUAUUCUACCUCUUUCAAAUCAUUCCCAAUCUCUCCACUCUCACUACCAGAACCCCAGAAUGGACUCUUCUCCUCAAAAGAAUAUUGUGAGGAUCAAAUGAGAUAGACGAUUAAAAAAAAAACAAACCUUUAAAAACUACAAAGUAGUAGAAUGGUAAGAAUUCUUAUUAUUAUAGACCUCAUCAAAGCUCACCAGGGCUAUUGCAGUAUUUUCCUAAUUAGCGUCCCCAACAAUGAACUUUCCUCCAAUUCUCUCCCAUCUCCCCCCACCCCAAUCUUCCCUAAAGCUAGUUUUGACCGUAUUCCUCCCCUGCUUUGACACUAUCAAUGUCUCCUAGUUUCCUACAGGGUAAAGUCCAAUUCAGCAGCCUGGAGGUCAAUGCCCAUAGACUGGUGCCAAACUAUUAGCUUUAUCCCACUUUACUAGUUUAUCCCCUCUGGAGCUGUAUAAUCCACCUUGGCCAAACUGGACUCUUCACUGUUCCCCUGCUUUCUCCUUCUCUGCUUUCCCUCACACUACAGCCCUUGCUUCACCUAUUGAAAAAUUCCCAUUCUUAAUAUAAAGCUCAAACGCCGCCACCUCCAGGCAGUAUUCUUUGAUUGUCUUCUAUCGAUAUCUCCCACUGUAUCCAUCAUAUUUUGCCUUUAUUUUGUCUGUUAGAUGCAGAGCCUUCCUUAGGACCUCAAACUCAAUUUCUUCCUUAAAUCCUCAGUUCAAAGCAGAUGAAUAAUCAGUGGUUGUUGAAUGACCAAAUAAUAAUAAUAGUUAGCAUUUCUAUAGCGCCUUGACAAAAUAUUUUUUUCACCGCAAUCUCCUGAAAGUAGAUAUCGUCUCAAUCCCCUCGUUCCAUUUUUACGCUGAAAUCUCGAAAUCAGAGAUGGGAAUUUGCAGCCCCAGGUCACACAGCUAUAGUUUAACCCUAUGAUGAUUCGAAACUUUCGAAAAAAUAGAGAAACGAAGAUUCGUACCGAGAAGCUCCCUGAUUCGCAGCAGUCAAGUAACCUGGAACCGGACCGGAACUCAGGACUCGGAUUUCUACGUAUGGGAGACAGUUACACUAACUGGCUUUUCUGCUAUUCUCCAGCCCACUGCAACCGCUUAUAGAUCGCUAAACUGAGGGUGAAGGGCGAGAAGGGUCGGUUUUAUACCAGUGGCUUUAAGCUACGCCAGUGAGGAACAGUCCACCACGUUCCACUAUCCUUUUGUGGUUUUAAGCACAGAUGGGCACAACGCAGAAGUGCGAACACGGAUUGUGUAUGUAUGUAUGUACGGAUGUGUGUAUAGACAACAGCAAAGGGUCCGGCCCCCAGGCCAAAUUCACAGGGUCUUCCACAAUCCGCUCGGGGUUGCUCCACCUGAAAGUGACGCCUCCCGCCCCCCGCCCCGCAUAGCCAGAGAACUUAGCCUGGUAGCCUACAGUCCGGAGAGGCGGGGUGUCUAUUCCUAUCUCUAUGUUGGUUUAUUUUCCCCACUUUUUCCCCACCUCGAGUAGAUGAUUCCGCUGCUGGAAAACUUUUCCUGACCCGUCCUUGGCCUGGCCUUCCGGGAAGAGAGAGCAGAGGAAACUGUCAGAAUCCAAAGGGCCUUUGGUGCCUGGGUAUAUGUGCCGGGCUGUGCCGAGGCAUAAUAUCAUGC
ensembl:lncRNA